rnacentral:rRNA from 1 species
UACGGAGGGGGCGAGCGUUGUUCGGAGUUACUGGGCGUAAAGCGCACGUAGGCGGUCCGGUAAGUCAGGGGUUAAAGGCUGCAGCUCAACUGCAGUAAGGCCUUUGAUACUAUCGUGCUAGAGUGUCAGAGAGGAUGGCGGAAUUCCCGGUGUAGCGGUGAAAUGCGUAGAUAUCGGGAGGAAGGCCGGUGGCGAAGGCGGCCUCCUGGGCCUGCACUGACGCUGAGGCGCGAAAGCGUGGGGAGCAAACAGG